rnacentral:rRNA from 1 species
UACGAAGGGGGCUAGCGUUGCUCGGAAUUACUGGGCGUAAAGGGCGCGUAGGCGGAUGUUUAAGUCAGAGGUGAAAGCCCAGGGCUCAACCUUGGAACUGCCUUUGAUACUGGACAUCUUGAGUAUGGGAGAGGUGAGUGGAACUCCGAGUGUAGAGGUGAAAUUCGUAGAUAUUCGGAAGAACACCAGUGGCGAAGGCGGCUCACUGGACCGGCAUUGACGCUGAGGUGCGAAAGCGUGGGGAGCAAACAGG